UACAGAGGUGGCAAGCGUUGUUCGGAAUUACUGGGCGUAAAGGGCUCGUAGGCGGCCAACUAAGUCGGAUGUGAAAUCCCCAGGCUUAACCUGGGAACUGCAUCCGAUACUGGAUGGCUUGAAUCCGGGAGAGGGAUGCAGAAUUCCAGGUGUAGCGGUGAAAUGCGUAGAUAUCUGGAGGAAUACCGGUGGCGAAGGCGGCAUCCUGGACCGGCAUUGACGCUGAUGAGCGAAAGCUAGGGGAGCAAACAGG
rnacentral:rRNA from 1 species